CGCUGCCGAGCGUGCUCGGUCAUGGUAUGGGCAGCGCGUAUGGGCUGCGGUGCAGCAACCGGCAGCUUGUAGCUCUGCGCCUGGAUCUGGCGCCGGACAAACCCCAUCUCAAGGAACCCCUGCGGACAGCGUGGAUGACAUCAUCGCAUCAGCGGCAUCUCCUCAAUCGCAGGCCUGGAGGUUCAGCGUGAUGUGCUAUAACAUCCUCGCUGAUACCUAUGUAGGUAUUGAAACGCAAAACUCUGUAUUGAUAUUGGCACGACGAAAUGUUUGGACGCACUACAACGCAUGGCCUUGAAGGUCUAAUCUCGAGGCGCCGCACCGCGCGGGUUGCUGCGACCUGCACGUUCCACUAUUCCGCUCCACUGCUGUUGCCGCAAGGCGCCACCAAGGCACCACAGCUCCAGCGCUCAGCACAGCACAAGCCUGAACUGUCUAAACUGGGGCCAUCAUUAAGUCCACCCACAUGUGGGGGAGGGCCAGGGGGGAGAGCAGUAGGGGGAAG
rnacentral:lncRNA from 1 species